rnacentral:lncRNA from 1 species
GAAAAGAUGCAAGCUUGUUGUGGAGGUACUUCAAUGGGGUCUCUUCAGCACCCUGCACGGGUUCAAGGACCUGUCUUUGCUCCAAUCAUCUCCCCAGUGACCAAAUUCUCUCAGCAACUGAAGCUCAGUUUCCCGAGACCUUGCCCUUCUUUGUUUCUGAGAAAAAGCUCGGUCUUUGAAAGUAGAGCGUCUUCUGUCUCGGCACCUGAUGUGGAGACUACCAGUAAGAGAGUUUUAACUUUCACUUUUUUGAUUAUGUGAAGGAAGGAAAUAGUUAUUUAUUCCAUGCGUGGUUUUGAUUAUGUCUAGGCAAUGAGAUCCCAUUCGAGGACUAUGGUCGUCGUGCUAUAUGAGUAGAAAUCAUCAUUUAAUGGAUAUUAAUAUUAAAAAUAUACUAAAAUAUACUAUGUAUGUUAGUAUCAUUUAAAUUUAAUUACGUAUCCUAUCAAAUAUUAAAAAAAAUAUUUUUAGAUUAAUAAAAUUGAUUUAUAUGUUCGCACCAAUUUAAUUAUAUAUUUAAUAGUUACUGACUUUUAAUACAUUAAAUAAUUUUUAUAUAUAAUGUUUAUCCCGCGCAAGGCGCGGAUCUUAAUCUAGUCUAUAUAUAUAAUUGAAAACCCGUGGAUACACUAUUACCUUAUUGUAUUUAUCCAACAUAAAUAUGAAUUUUAAAAUUAAUACUCAUGAUUAAACCAAUUAAUCAUGGAUAAAAACCCAAUCCAUUAUUAGUGGGUUUGGGUAAACCCAUGGGUAAUUACCCAGGUUAACAUCCCUAUUCAUGGGUCUAGUAGUAGUAUUCAUGGUUAGUUGCUGUUGGUACACAAACCCACCCAACUAAACCAGAUAAUCCAGUCUAUACAAAUUGGUAACCUAGCACAGCCGGUUUAUCCUAAACCAAACAUCGAAGCAGACGGCGUCGUUUGUCGAUAUUAUUUCUCGGUGUUUGUUCUGUUCUUGGAACCUGGAGUUUUUUGUUUUGUUGGGUUUGCGUAAACCCUACAUAUAUAUAUGUAUGUGUACGUCGUCACUCACACCAUCUGCUACAGCGUAUACUUUACAUAUUCGUCUUCCUUCUCAGAUUCCCUCCCAUCUCCACUUCUUAGCGACCUCGUCUCGCAAAGCUCGAAACUUUUUCUACCAUACCGGUAAGUGUUGCCUGUUUUUUUUUUUUUUUGUCGUUUUCCUCGCUUUUCUUUUCUGGGUUCUUAGUUCCGAUUCUAUUUGGACCAGGAGCUGAUAAUAUGAUACGUCCACUUCGUUGUCUCAGAUUGGUUGUGUCUAAUUUCGUUCAUUAAGUUUGAGUCUUUCUAUCAGCUUUUUCUCUGUCGAAUUGCUUUUUGCUAGUAACGGCCUGUCUGUGUGUUGUCUACCUGUUACUAUUGAAUUUGUGUGUGUGUGUGUGUGUAGAAGUAGAGAAAAGAUGCAAGCUUGUUGUGGAGGUACUUCAAUGGGGUCUCUUCAGCACCCUGCACGGGUUCAAGGACCUGUCUUUGCUCCAAUCAUCUCCCCAGUGACCAAAUUCUCUCAGCAACUGAAGCUCAGUUUCCCGAGACCUUGCCCUUCUUUGUUUCUGAGAAAAAGCUCGGUCUUUGAAAGUAGAGCGUCUUCUGUCUCGGCACCUGAUGUGGAGACUACCAG